rnacentral:rRNA from 1 species
AUUGAACGCUGGCGGCAUGCCUAACACAUGCAAGUCGAACGGCAGCACAGGGGAGCUUGCUCCCUGGGUGGCGAGUGGCGGACGGGUGAGUAACGCGUAGGAAUCUGCCUCAUAGAGGGGGAUAACUCGGGGAAACUCGAGCUAAUACCGCAUAAUCUCUAAGGAGCAAAGCAGGGGAUCUUCGGACCUUGCGCUAUGAGAGGAGCCUGCGUUGGAUUAGCUAGUUGGUAGGGUAAAGGCCUACCAAGGCGACGAUCCAUAACUGGUCUGAGAGGAUGACCAGUCACACUGGGACUGAGACACGGCCCAGACUCCUACGGGAGGCAGCAGUGGGGAAUAUUGGUCAAUGGGCGAGAGCCUGAACCAGCCAUGCCGCGUGCAGGAAGAAGGCCCUCUGGGUUGUAAACUGCUUUUGACAGGGGCCAAAAUACUCAUGCGUGAGGAAUUGAGAGUACCUGUAGAAUAAGCACCGGCUAACUACGUGCCAG